GGGCAAUUAGCUCAGUUGGUUAGAGCGCUUCGUUCACAUCGAAGAGGUCGUAGGUUCGAAUCCUACAUUGCCCA
rnacentral:tRNA from 1 species